rnacentral:rRNA from 1 species
AGGUGGUGCAUGGUUGUCGUCAGCUCGUGUCGUGAGAUGUUGGGUUAAGUCCCGCAACGAGCGCAACCCUUAAGCUUAGUUGCCAGCAUUAAGUUGGGCACUCUAAGUUGACUGCCGGUGACAAACCGGAAGAAGGUGGGGAUGACGUCAAAUCAUCAUGCCCCUUAUGAUUUGGGCUACACACGUGCUACAAUGGACAAUACAAAGGGCAGCUAAACCGCGAGGUCAUGCAAAUCCCAUAAAGUUGUUCUCAGUUCGGAUUGUAGUCUGCAACUCGACUACAUGAAGCUGGAAUCGCUAGUAAUCGUAGAUCAGCAUGCUACGGUGAAUACGUUCCCGGGUCUUGUACACACCGCCCGUCACACCACGAGAGUCUGUAACACCCGAAGCCGGUGGAGUAACCAUUUAUGGAGCUAGCCGUCGAAGGUGGGACAAAUGAUUGGGGUGAAGUCGUAACAAGGUAGCCGUAUCGGAAGGUGCGGCUGGAUCACCUC